CCUACGGGAGGCAGCAGUGAGGAAUAUUGGUCAAUGGGCGGAAGCCUGAACCAGCCAAGUAGCGUGCAGGAUGACGGCCCUACGGGUUGUAAACUGCUUUUAUACGGGAAUAACGCGCCUUACGUGUAGGGCUUUGCAUGUACCGUAUGAAUAAGGACCGGCUAAUUCCGUGCCAGCAGCCGCGGUAAUACGGAAGGUCCGGGCGUUAUCCGGAUUUAUUGGGUUUAACUGGAGCGUAGGCGGCAUGUCAAGCGUGCUGUGAAAUGUCCGGGCUAAACCCGGGCCUUGAAGCGCGCACUGGCGUGCUUGAGUCCGCGGAAAGCAGGCGGAAUUCGUCGUGUAGCGGUGACAUGCUUAG
rnacentral:rRNA from 1 species